CCCGAGCUCCAGACCCUUCUUCCCAGCGCGGCGCGACGGCCCCAAGUGGAUGGGCUGUCUCUGGUGAACACGUCCAACUCCAGAGGCUGUGACUCUGGGGACCUUCGUGACCCCAAGACAGGGUCACACACCCGUGGCAUUUGGUCGCCAAAUUCCAGACAAGGACCCCCAUUCAACCGACUGGCUCCAAGCUGAGCCUUGGAGAGGUGGCUGGGGACAGGAGGAAAAGACGGAGCCCCCCCACGCAUUGCCAGGAUUUCUCUUUCCGUAUCCCAGCCUCCCUGCUCCCUGGGGCACACAGGUGGAUGGCGGAGGCAGCCAGUGAAGGCACCAACCGAGGGGCAGGUGAGGUCACUGGGGGCGGGGGAUGCGGGGGAGCAAGAAGGAGAAGCAGCUUUGCCUGAGGGGCCACAGCUAGGAGGACAGCCGGGAAGCCUUCUGGGCUGAGGCUUGUGAGAUGGCUGGAAGUUAGCCAGGAGGACAAGCGCUUCCAGGCAGAAGGAACAGCAUCUGCAAAGGCUCAGCGCAUGGCGCAACCUGGUGGGACUGGAGUCCCGCUGGUUCUUGAAACCCAGGGGCAUGAACACUAUCCUCUAGGCAUUGGAGAUGCAAAUGGCCUUAAGCAAAGGAGUGAGCCGGUACACACUACAGAAGGACGCGCGUAGCGUGGUCCUCUUAGAAGA
rnacentral:lncRNA from 1 species